rnacentral:rRNA from 1 species
UUACCCACCUUUGACAUGGCAGGAAGUUACCAGAGAUGGUUUCGUGCUCGAAAGAGAACCUGCACACAGGUGCUGCAUGGCUGUCGUCAGCUCGUGUCGUGAGAUGUUGGGUUAAGUCCCGCAACCGAGCGCAACCCUUGCCAUCAGUUGCUACGAAAGGGCACUCUGAUGGGACUGCCGGUGACAAACCGGAGGAAGGUGGGGAUGACGUCAAGUCCUCAUGGCCCUUAUAGGUGGGGCUACACACGUCAUACAAUGGCCGGUACAAAGGGCAGCCAACCCGCGAGGGGGAGCCAAUCCCAUAAAGCCGGUCGUAGUCCGGAUCGCAGUCUGCAACUCGACUGCGUGAAGUCGGAAUCGCUAGUAAUCGUGGAUCAGCAUGUCACGGUGAAUACGUUCCCGGGUCUU